UUUAAAGUUAAUUACUUUAUUUUUAGGGUUCUUCCCAGUUCCUCUUCCCUAAACUCAAAGCAGGUAAGUAAUUGUUUCUUUCAUUUUUGUUGUUUUAUUAAUAAUUUUGUUCUUUGAAACUGUUUUAAAGAAAACCCUCUUUUCACUAUCCCCUUUCUUUUUAGGGUUCUUACUUAAUUCGAAUAUGUGAAUAUUCUGCCAUUUCUUCUUAGUUCUAAUCGACCCUAAAUAGAUUCUUACUGAAGAUGAAUGUGAAUUUUUGUGGAAUUUCUUGCUUGUGAACUGAAAUGGGGAUUUAGACUGUUAAUUGUUAAGUGUGAAGUGAUAGACAUUGGAAAUUUGGAACCCUCUUAUAACAACCACUGAAUUUACACUAUGGGACCAUUCUAUAAUGGAAAUUUGCCAAACUAACAACAUGAAAUUGUAAAAUUUGCAAAAUAACCACAUUGAAUUUACACUCUGCGACCAUUCGCAAAACGAUUGUAAUAGAUGUUUUAUGGUUGCACAGUGUAGUUUCAGGCAGUAAUAGAGCUUUUGAACACUCUUUUUUAAUGUGGUCAGAUUCAUUGUUAUUGUAGAUUUUUAUAAUUUAAUCUUAAUCUAUAUCAUUCUCUCUCUCUCUCUCUCAAUUUUACUCAUUUGGUUGUUUGUUGUGCCAUCAUCAUUGUUUUUGUUCCCGUAGUUGUGAAAAUUCCAAUGGUUUGAUGACCACAUAUGCUCAAUUUUAGCAUCAGGGUGAUUUAUUUUCACAGCUUUGUUUCUGCUUAUCUUAGAAUCUCUUGUUAAAAAUAAUAGGUGAUUACAAUUAUUGCUAGAACAUCUUGACUUACUUUGAUCUAUUGCAUUUCUUCUAAAUGCAGCUUUUCAAGGUUUUUUUUGUAAGGGUAGCUUUACGAGUUGAGAUAGAGAUAUAUUGUGCUGUCAGAGAUUUGGAUAGGAAAAUGUCUACGAAAUUGACUCAGAAAUUGUUAUACUAAUCUUACAAUGGCCAAAGCAAGUGUAAUGAGAGGAGUCUCUUUUAAUCUUCUUCGGAAUCAGUCGCCAAUUUUCCCGAACCAAGAUUCUCAAUCAUUCUCAACAAUCCCAAUCAAGAGCAAUUCCAGGCUCCCUCAACAAUCCCAUUACAGGAAUCAAAUCUCCAUUGCUAAUCUGCUUCAAAGGUAUGGCUUCCCGUCUUCUUUGCUCCACAGUUUUCUCUCAAAGAACAAUCGUUUUUUACUGCAGAUGAACCUAAAGGACAUGGAAAAGUCCCUUGGUAUUCUUUUCAGCUUCAAAAUUCCCCAAAAUGAACUUGUAUCUUUGGUCUGUGAAUGUCCUGGUGUUUUGGAUUGCCAUUUUCUUAAUAAUUGGGAAAUGAGUUUUUCACAAUUGGGGCUUUCGACGGUUUCUCCAUCGAUGGUUAGGAGUGUUUUAGAACAUUCUAGAAAGUAUCACUUAGACCCUAAUGGUUUUUUCAAAACCCUUGUUGUUUUGAGGGGUAUGGGGUUUAACAAUGCUACUCUGAGUAGGGUUUUAGAAGGUUUUCCCGAGGUGACUUUGAUGAACGAGAGUGAAAUUCGAAGGAGAGUUGAAUUCUUGAUGGCUGGGAUUCCCAUGUCAGCAGAAGGAGUUGAUUGGAUUCUGCAUUCCUUCCCGGAGGUGUUAGGGUUCGGGGUGGAAGAUAGGUUGAAGCCAUUGAUUUCUGAGUUUAAAGCGCUGGGGUUUGAUAAUGAUUUGAUAAGCAGAGAAAUUAGUAGAGACCCAAGAAUUCUCAGUAUGGAAUUAGGCGAACUUUCGCGGUGUUUUGAAUUAUUGAGGAGUUUGAAAUGUAGAGUGGCAAUCCUGGAGAAGAUCUAUAGUGAGGGUGAGUUUAGAGCAGGCUUUGAAGUGAAGUUGAGAGUUGACUACUUUUGCAAGCAAGGUUUGACUCGCAGAGAGGCCUUUGAAGUGUUAUGGAAGGAGCCGAGAUCAAUUGUGUACAAGAUGGAAGAAGUCGAAAAGAAAGUCGAUUUUUUAGUGAAUAGGAUGAAAUUCAACAUUCGUUGCUUGCUUGAUGUUCCAGAGUAUGUUGGUGUGAAUUUCGAUAAGCAGAUAGUUCCUCGGUUCAAUGUAAUUGAGUAUUUAAGAUCAAAAGACGGGCUUGGUUCUUUAAUUGGUUUACGAGCACUGAUCAAGCCUAGUAGACUGAAGUUCUACAACCUUUAUGUGAAGCCUUAUCCGGAGUGUCUGAAGUUUUUCGGGAGGUAUUCAGAUGAUGUUGAAGUCAAAAGCCAACAACCAGUUGGAUUAUGGAAGAUUUUGAAACCACAGAGCAAACCAGCAACCAAAGAAGAUGUGGAAAACAUGAAAGUGUUUAUGAAAUUAUAAUGGUGCUGUCAUUGGCUAGAGGCUGUUAAGAAUUCUGUUUUUAAUCUAUUCUUGACUCCCUCUAAAUGUUUCCAUAAAUGGUUUUGUACUUGUGUAUUAUUAUUGUGUGGUAAAUAUGUCCUCAAGCUCUUGGAAAACCUAUCUCUUACUUUCAUUUUCUUAGAUUAUUCUUUGUUAUUUUAAGAGUUCUUUGUGUGAAGAUUAAGGCUUUCAAACCUUGUUAUUCAAUUUUUUAACAAAUUUUUUAA